rnacentral:misc_RNA from 1 species
GGGAUCUUAACAUUGUGUUUCAUUCAUCAACUAUGAUUAGAACAGCUGCAAAAAUUCUCGUAUGGCAGAAGUAAAUACAAACGAAGAACAAUUUUAUUUAUAUUGACUGUUUAAAAACAGAAGGAUAAAUCUUGAAAGUUGAAACGUCAGUGAACACGUCUUCAAAUCAUUUUCUGAUAGACAUUACAGUUGCUUUCUUUUUCGCAUGUAUUGAAGUCGCUCUCACCUGAUUUUGCAACAAUCCGAGACUCUUGUGAGCAACUUCGAUGAGAUGAGGAUCCUCUCCUAAUACGAUGUUCCAGCGUCAUAGGACCAUCCUGGCAAAUUCAAUAAGAUACAUAGAAAUUUUUUUGUGGAAAUGAAAUCCAGGAAGUGUGUGAAUUUAAGACUCGAGCAUUAUAUGUGUUUAUAAAAUUCCUUCUCACAUCAUUUAAUAGUAAGUCCCGUGGCUCAAGCAUGUGGAUCACAUCUCCCAUUGUAGGUCGAUGCUUUAUAUUAGGAUCAACACAUCGAAGAGCAAGUAAAAGUAUGCGUUUGAGCUCCUUUGAAGAUGGCAUUUCUGCCAAUUUAGGAUCUGCCACAUACAUGAUUUUCUUAUUUGCAACCAUGGAUUUCAACCAGUCAAUCAAAUAAACCUGCAAUUGAUGAGCAGCUUCUGUUUCAGAGUUUAUGAAAAUGAACAAAAAAGGUUCAGUAAAGAACUUGAGUGUUUACGUGGGGGUGAUUGUGAUCUACAGGAGUCCUUCCACAUAUGAUCUCCAUGACAAGUAUUCCAAAGCUAUAAACAUCAGUUUUCUCAUCCAAAACUCCAUUAGAAGCGUAUUCUGGAGAUAAAUAACUGGAAAAACACACUAUUUUACAUGGUCAAUUCAAAUUACUAAAUGCAUACUUAAGCACAUUGCCCUAUAUUGAAAGCAAAUGAAUUGCAGGCCUAGUCAAAACAACAAUAGAAGCUUACCCUGACUUUCCCAUCAGACGAGCUGCUAUGUCAUUUCCCUCUGGACCAAAGAGCUUAACAAUCCCAAAAUCAGAGAUCUUAGGAUUCCAUUGGUGAUCAAGCAUUAUGUUGCUAGAUUUUAAGUUUUGAUGAACAAUCUUUGGUUCGAUGUCCUCAUGAAGGUAGGCCAAUCUUUAGAAGCAAACCUUUUGCAACUCCUUGGAUGAUGUUCAUCCUCAUACCCCAUGUUAAAGGUAUUACUUGUUCUGGGCAUCCGUGAAGCCACCGUUGCAGAUUACCAUUAUCCACAUACUCAUUCACAAGCAUUCUGUAACCUCCUUCCAUACAGUAUCCAAGCAAUUUGACUAAAUUCUUGUGUCUGACAUGCCCUAUAACCUCCACUUCAGCUACAAAGUCUUUAGCUUGGCAACUGAUGAUUAAUUUGCUUCUCAAUAAUAUUGUUUAAUUGCAAUGUAGUCUAAGAAUACUUUCACCUUGUUCAUCGUCCAAAUUAAGAAAACAAGAAAUACUAUCAAACUGAAGAUUUCAGAAUGAGAACCUCUUAUUAAGUAGUCUCUUUACAGCCACUCUUGUAGCAUCCAACAAAAUGCCACGAUAUGCGACACCAUAAUCACCAUUCCCAAUCACAUUCUGAUCCGCAAAUCCAUUGGUCACCACAUCCAUAUCCCUUAAAGCAAACCU